rnacentral:rRNA from 1 species
UACGUAGGCAGCGAGCGUUGUUCGGAAUUACUGGGCGUAAAGAGUGUGUAGGCGGUGCUCUAAGUUCGGGUGUGAAAUCUCCUGCUUAACUGGGAGGGUGCGCCGGAAACUGGAGUGCUCGAACGUGGGAGAGGAAGCGGAAUUCCUGGUGUAGCGGUGAAAUGCGUAGAUAUCAGGAGGAACACCUGCGGUGUAGACGGCUUUCUGGACCAUUGUUGACGCUGAGACACGAAAGCGUUGGGUAGCAAACAGG